rnacentral:rRNA from 1 species
UCAUUACAGAGUUGCAAAACUCCCAAACCCACUGUGAACCUACCUAUUUGUUCCUUCGGCAGGCGGCCCCCGGGGGGGCUUCGCCGCGAGGCGCCUGCCGCGGGACAACCAAACUCUUGCUGUUUUAGUGUCUUCUGAGCAACUAUAAACAAGUCACAACUUUCAACAACGGAUCUCUUGGUUCUGGCAUCGAUGAAGAACGCAGCGAAAUGCGAUAAGUAAUGUGAAUUGCAGAAUUCAGUGAAUCAUCGAAUCUUUGAACGCACAUUGCGCCCAUCAGUAUUCUGUUGGGCAUGCCUGUUCGAGCGUCAUUUCCACCCUCAAGCCCUGGCUGCUUGGUGUUGGGGUGCUCUACAGCCCGCUGUAGGCCCCGAAAAUCAGUGGCGGUCUCGCUGGGACCCCGAGCGCAGUAGAUUUCUCUCGCUUAGGGGUGUCUGGCGGUGUCUAGCCGUUAAAACCACCUAUAUUUUUAAGGUUGACCUCGGAUCAGGUAGGAAUACCCGCUGAACUUAAGCAUAUCAAUAAGCGGAGGAAAAGAAACCAACAGGGAUUGCCCUAGUAACGGCGAGUGAAGCGGCAACAGCUCAGAUUUGAAAUCUGGCCCUAGGCCCGAGUUGUAAUCUGUAGAGGAUGCUUUUGGUGCGGCGCCUUCUGAGUUCCCUGGAAUGGGACGCCAUAGAGGGUGAGAGCCCCGUAUAGUUGGACGCCAAGCCUCUGUAAAGCGCCUUCGACGAGUCGAGUAGUUUGGGAAUGCUGCUCUAAAUGGGAGGUAAAUUUCUUCUAAAGCUAAAUACCGGCCAGAGACCGAUAGCGCACAAGUAGAGUGAUCGAAAGAUGAAAAGCACUUUGAAAAGAGGGUUAAACAGCACGUGAAAUUGUUGAAAGGGAAGCGCUUGUGACCAGACUUGUGCCUAGUGAAUCAUCCAGCGUUCUCGCUGGUGCACUUUGCUUGGUUCAGGCCAGCAUCGGUUUCCCCAGGGAGAUAAAAGCUUCGGGAAUGUGGCUCCUCCGGGAGUGUUAUAGCCCGUUGCAGAAUAUCCUUGGGGGGA